UAGUAAACCGAAGCUGCGGCAAUGUGCUUUUGCACAUUGGGUAGGGGAGCGUUCUGUAAGCGGUUGAAGGUGUGUGGUAACGCAUGCUGGACGUAUCAGAAGUGCGAAUGCUGACAUGAGUAACGAUAAAGGGGGUGAAAAACCUCCUCGCCGGAAGACCAAGGGUUCCUGUCCAACGUUAAUCGGGGCAGGGUAAGUCGACCCCUAAGGCGAGGCCGAAAGGCGUAGUCGAUGGGAAACGGGUUAAUAUUCCCGUACUUCUUACAAUUGCGAUGGGGGGACGGAGAAGGCUAGGUGGGCCUGGCGACGGUUGUCCAGGUUCAAGUGCGUAGGCUUAAGAGUUAGGUAAAUCCGGCUCUUUUUAAGGCUGAGACACGACGUCGAGCACCUACGGGUGUGAAGUCAUUGAUGCCAUGCUUCCAGGAAAAGCCUCUAAGCUUCAGAUUGUAAGGAAUCGUACCCCAAACCGACACAGGUGGUCGGGUAGAGAAUACCAAGGCGCUUGAGAGAACUCGGGUGAAGGAACUAGGCAAAAUGGUACCGUAACUUCGGGAGAAGGUACGCUCUCGACGGUGAAGUCCCUCGCGGAUGGAGCUAUU
rnacentral:rRNA from 1 species